rnacentral:rRNA from 1 species
GACGAACGCUGGCGGCGUGCCUAAUACAUGCAAGUCGAACGAACCGCGACUAGGUGCUUGCACUUGGUCAAGGUGAGUGGCGAACGGGUGAGUAACACGUGGGUAACCUACCUCAUAGUGGGGUAUAACAGUCGGAAACGACUGCUAAUACCGCAUAUGACAUAUGAUCACAUGAUCCAGUGAGGAAAGGUGGCGCAAGCUAUCGCUAAGCGUUGGACCCGCGGUGCAUUAGCUAGUUGGUAGGGUAAAGGCCUACCAAGGCGAUGAUGCAUAGCCGACCUGAGAGGGUGAUCGGCCACAUUGGGACUGAGACACGGCCCAAACUCCUACGGGAGGCAGCAGUAGGGAAUCUUCCGCAAUGGACGCAAGUCUGACGGAGCAACGCCGCGUGAGUGAAGAAGGUCUUCGGAUCGUAAAGCUCUGUUGUUAGAGAAGAACAGCGCAUAGAGUAACUGUUAUGCGUGUGACGGUAUCUAAACAGAAAGCCACGGCUAACUACGUG